AUUGGACGCUGGCGGCAUGCCUUACACAUGCAAGUCGAACGGUAACAGGUCUUCGGAUGCUGACGAGUGGCGAACGGGUGAGUAAUACAUCGGAACGUGCCUAGUAGUGGGGGAUAACUACUCGAAAGAGUGGCUAAUACCGCAUGAGAUCUACGGAUGAAAGCAGGGGAUCGCAAGACCUUGUGCUACUAGAGCGGCCGAUGGCAGAUUAGGUAGUUGGUGGGAUAAAGCUUACCAAGCCGACGAUCUGUAGCUGGUCUGAGAGGACGAUCAGCCACACUGGGACUGAGACACGGCCCAGACUCCUACGGGAGGCAGCAGUGGGGAAUUUUGGACAAUGGGCGCAAGCCUGAUCCAGCAAUGCCGCGUGCAGGAUGAAGGCCUUCGGGUUGUAAACUGCUUUUGUACGGAACGAAAAGCCCUGGGUUAAUACCCUGGGGUCAUGACGGUACCGUAAGAAUAAGCACCGGCUAACUACGUGCCAGCCGCCGCAGUAA
rnacentral:rRNA from 1 species